GCCACUGCAGAUCUUUAAGAUCCCCAUAGUGAAUGGACAUUUCUGGCCUGCAUCUGACAGAGAUAUUCUCAGGCCAAGAAGAAAGCAAAGAAGGGACACCAGUGCUGUGUCAAGAGGGCAGAUGGCUUGGAGAGGAGCAAAAGCUUGGAGUGAAAUAAUAACAGCGUGGUGAGGAGGCUGCUGGUCAGAUACUCUGCUGUAUAUGGAAACUAUGGGAUUCUGUUCUGCCAGUUAAAGAUGAUGCCACAGAAAUCUUCGAAUGUUGUAGAAAGAUGGAUGUGAUCAGGUAAGUGGAAAAUCAGGCUACAAUUAAGUCAUGCCAUUUGAUUCUAUUUGGGGGAAAGGACUUAACAGAUACAUUCCAAAAUAACAAAUAUCAAUUAUUUUAAGAUACUUCAUUUAUGGAUUAUUUGAUAGCCUCUCU
rnacentral:lncRNA from 1 species